CGUGCCUAAUACAUGCAAGUCGAACGAGAGCGACCGGUGCUUGCACUGGUCAAUCUAGUGGCGAACGGGUGAGUAACACGUGGGUAACCUGCCCAUCAGAGGGGGAUAACAUUCGGAAACGGAUGCUAAAACCGCAUAGGUCUUCGAACCGCAUGGUUUGAAGAGGAAAAGAGGCGCAAGCUUCUGCUGAUGGAUGGACCCGCGGUGCAUUAGCUAGUUGGUGAGGUAACGGCUCACCAAGGCCGUGAUGCAUAGCCGACCUGAGAGGGUGAUCGGCCACAUUGGGACUGAGACACGGCCCAAACUCCUACGGGAGGCAGCAGUAGGGAAUCUUCCGCAAUGGACGCAAGUCUGACGGAGCAACGCCGCGUGAGUGAAGAAGGUUUUCGGAUCGUAAAACUCUGUUGUUAGAGAAGAACAAGUGCUAGAGUAACUGUUAGCGCCUUGACGGUAUCUAACCAGAAAGCCACGGCUAACUACGUGCCAGCAGCCGCGGUAAUACGUAGGUGGCAAGCGUUGUCCGGAUUUAUUGGGCGUAAAGCGAGCGCAGGCGGUUCCUUAAGUCUGAUGUGAAAGCCCCCGGCUCAACCGGGGAGGGUCAUUGGAAACUGGGGAACUUGAGUGCAGAAGAGGAGAGUGGAAUUCCAUGUGUAGCGGUGAAAUGCGUAGAUAUAUGGAGGAACACCAGUGGCGAAGGCGACUCUCUGGUC
rnacentral:rRNA from 1 species